GCAAAAUGGAAUCUGGUAAGGAUGACAGUACUUGAUUUCUCCCUGUUGGAAAUCUGGGAAUGUCCCCGGCCUAAACAGUGUACAUUUAUUUAUCCCGCAGUGGCUUGUUCCAUGUGGACCUCUUCUAAGUUAGUGGACCCAGUUGUUUGGGGGAACAUAAGCUGAAGGAGAAAUCAGAUACUUAACUCUGGCAUUAGACUUUCAUGGAAUGAGGAGAAAGAACAUUCAGUGUUAGAUUGUUGAGACAACCAAGUAGUGAAUCAUAACCUUAAUGCCUGUUUUGUACCAACUGCCAAAUAAAAUCAUAUUAUUGGAAUGAAGUAACAUAUAUCCUGCUACGGCACAAGAAUACUUGGCAGUUAGCAGCCAAUCCUUUCACUAAGCUCUAUGGCCAGGGACUGUAAGGGAAGAGCAGAACUUGCAAAUAUUAGGUUGGCAGAGUCUUGAAAAUGAAAGCAACAUGAAUGGUAAAAUUCAUUCAGUAAAUAUCUUUAUUCCCAGGCUAAUACAGAUUUUUAACUGUAAUGUUUUUGUGCAAAUUCUCUAUAUUCAUGUUAACCAAAUGUGCAGGGUAUUAUUGUUGUAGCUUUUUUUACACUUACUCUACACCAUCAAACUCAUCACUGUUUUUCGUAUUAAUUUCCUUUGAGGUAGACCAUCUCUGGUCUCUGUUUUGCAGAUUCUGUUUUCUUUCUGAGGUCUCUGGGCAUAAAUCACAUUCAUGUCUGAUGACCUGAUGACUGCCUUAGUUAGUGUAUCCUAAACUGAACUCCUUUCAGGUUUUCCCUUCCCUAUUCCGUCAUCAUCUCAUUGCUCUUGCUUCUUCCUUUGCCAUCGCUGUACUAUUUUCCUACAAUAUCUCAUGAUGUGCCAUGAAAUCAACACACUGUUUUUAAAGAUCUGUUCAGUUCCACUGGUACUUACUCUAUGGAGCUGUUGAUUUCUGUAUUGACUGUUCAGACAGGAUCUGCCCGACUCUGUGUGCCCGUGAAGCACACGGGGGGACUUCCAGAUUGCACACACUCGCAUCACGCAGGAUGCGGGGCUGCAGUAACGCGUCCCUCUGACGCACGAUGGCAUAACAGAAGAUACUGCUGAGGCAGGACGUGGGGGUGGGGAGGUGAGGAAAUAAAGCAAACAAUGUUGAACUGCCUGACAUCUUAAAUGAAAGAAAAACUGUCAGCCUGUGGGAAGUCACGAUUUAGUGUUGCAGCUCCUUGACAGGGUAUGACGAUUUAGGAUCAUCUGCAUAAAUCUAAGAUAUUGCUGAAAGCAGAAGUGGCUGAACUUGCUCAAACUUCCAAAGAAACUGAAUUGAAGUCGAGGGAGAGAAAUAGAGCAGGACGAAUAGGAGGGUGCCAGGCUGAUCACUACAACUGUUUAAAAUAGAAAAGCAGAUGGAACAAAUAGAAAGAUUUACCACACAGCUUGAUCUUUCCCCCUGAAGCAGCCAU